rnacentral:misc_RNA from 1 species
AAUGACCAUGCCUUUUUUAACCAAAUAAGGCGUGCACUGUAUAAAUUACCUCUCAAAAGAACAAUAUUUAAAAAGAAAGGAUUACAAUAAAAUAUACAUCUUUGAAUUAUGUCAACUUAANCUUAAGAACAUCUAUUCUGAAAUUCUAUACGGAGAUACAAAGUUACAUGAUGGUGGUAAGCCGAAUGGGGGGAAAAAGGCAUGGUCAUUUCACAUUAAAGACAUGUUCGAUUUCCAUUCUAUAAUUUACUCGGCCAAUGCAACUCUAUCAAAAUCCAUUAGCAUGAAAGGAAUGGAGUAACCAUAACUAAUCAAAUAAUAUUUCAAGUUACUCAGCUGGGCUGUGCGAGUGCUGCAAAUAAUGUCGUGCUGCUGAAAGGCUUAAACCGUAAAAAUCUUCCUCACCUUCUUCAUGUUUCUAUGACAUACAGGGCAAGUACCAGCAGCCUCCACUAUCCUUGUUCCGCAUGCAAAACAGGAAAUGCAAUGCCCACAUGGGAGGAAGAAGCAGUCCCUUGGAGCAUCAAAACAAAUUGCACAAAGACGCCGGGUAUUAUUUUCAUUUUCACCAUCUCUUGAUGGUUUUCCUUCUAAGGAACCUGAGGCUAGAAAUUCUUCAAGAUCCUCGUCAUCAUUUGAGACAGAAUCAUAAGAAGAGCCCCAACUUGAGAGGUCAUCGUCUUUAUAUGAAAGCAGAGGAGCUCUUGCAGGCUCCACCUCGCCAUACUGAACUCCCGUUCUUUCUUCACGUAUACAUCGGAACUUGUUGAAGAAGUUGAAUGCCAACAUCAUAAGCACAGUCAUUACAGCUAUGCCAACAAUAUAUGUUGCCCAUCUUGGUCCAUAGGAAAUUUUGACAUACCACUCAUUACUUGGAGAAUCCUCUUCCGGACCAGGAGAGGUUAAGACAACAGCAUU